CGGGAGGGGCUCCAGGGGCUCCAUGACGCCACUCACACUUACUGUCACCCUAGAAAGAUGGAAGCUGGUGAAAACCGAAACUAGCCACAUCUCUGCCUGCCCAAGGCAAAAGAACCCGCAGGCAAAUCAUCGUGAUAGGAACCAAAACUACCCCUUCAAGCAACAACGGCUGCCCUGAGCCAGCAAGACCCCACGUGACCUCAAGACAACAAUGACCUGACCUUCGCUUUCCACCUGCAGUACUCUCUGACCUCUGUCCCACAUUUUCCUUACAAAACCCAGGAGUAUCUCGGCACUUUGGAGAUUGUAUUUCAGAGGGUCCACUGUCUUCCCGGUGUUGCCCUUCCCUGAAAUAAAUUCCUUCCUUGUUCCGCCA